rnacentral:lncRNA from 1 species
AUCUUUUUAAAUAGUUGUUUAUACUUUUCAUCUAUCAAAUACAACAAACUUUUCAAAUAAACAAAAUAAUAUAUAUUAAAUAAGAUAUUCGUACAUCCAAAUAAAUAUAUAGGAUAUAAGUUAAUUAUCAUCAAAUAAUUUACUUAGACAGCAAAAAUGAGCCGCAGAUCAUAUCUAUCUAAACAGAUUUUUAAUCUAAACAAUAAAUAAAAUAAUC